rnacentral:rRNA from 1 species
AGCAGCCGCGGUAAUUCCAGCUCCAAUAGCGUAUAUUAAAGUUGUUGCAGUUAAAAAGCUCGUACUUGAAUUUCGGGAUCAAAUUGUCGGUCGUGCCUCGGUACGCACUGGUAUUAUUGGUUCCUACCUUCUGAAGAACCGCGAUGUCAUUAAUUUGGUGUCGUGGGGAAUCAGGACUGUUACUUUGAAAAAAUUAGAGUGUUUAAAGGAGGCUUACGCUUGAAUACAUUAGCAUGGGAAUAAUGAAAUAGGACGUUUGAUUCUAUUUUGUUGGUUUCUAGGAUUGACGUAAUGAUUAAUAGGGAUAGUUGGGGGCAUUAGUAUUCAAUUGUCAGAGGUGAAAUUCUUGGAUUUAUUGAAGACUAACUACUGCGAAAGCAUUUGCCAAGGAUGUUUUCA